GAGCCUCCGGAUUGAGCCAGACGCAUUUAUUUGCAUUUAGGGAUUUAUUUGUGGUUUAUUUUAUUUCUGAGUUUAUUUGCAUUUUAGGGCUUAUUUGUGGUUUAUUUGUGUUAUUUGUGGGCUUAUUAGGAUUUAUUGUUGUGUAAGGGGGUUUAUGCAAGUUGUGUAUUUGGGCCCUAUAUAUAGGGAACUAUUUUCAUGAUUAGGGUUUAAUGAAGUGAUUUGGAAUUUCUUUCCCCCUACGUUCUUUUUUCUCUUUUUCUCCUCUCCUCCUCUAUUCUUCCUGCGUCUCUACAACCUCUUCUUCCUUUUCCCUCUCUUGUUCUUCCUUCUUCUCCUCUUUCCCCACACUGGUGCUGCAUCAACUUGGUAUCAGAGCAACCGGUUUUGCUUCUAUUGCCAAAGCCCCGAUCCGUCAACAGUUUUUU
rnacentral:lncRNA from 1 species